GUUCUACUCCCUCCGUUUCAAAAUUCUUGUCUUAGAUUUGUCUAGAUACGGAUGUAUCUAAUACUAAAACGUGACUUGAUACAUCCAUAUUUAGACAAAUUUAAGACAAGAAUUUUGGGACGGAGGGAGUACUUG
rnacentral:pre_miRNA from 1 species